rnacentral:rRNA from 1 species
UACAGAGGUGGCAAGCGUUGUUCGGAAUUACUGGGCGUAAAGGGCGCGUAGGUGGCCUUCUUAGUCAGACGUGAAAUCCCCGGGCUUAACUCGGGAACUGCGUCUGAUACUGGAAGGCUCGAGUUCGGGAGAGGAAUGUGGAAUUCCAGGUGUAGCGGUGAAAUGCGUAGAUAUCUGGAGGAACACCGGUGGCGAAGGCGGCAUUCUGGACCGAAACUGACGCUGAGGCGCGAAAGCCAGGGGAGCAAACGGGG